rfam:Salmo salar isolate Sally breed double haploid chromosome ssa17, whole genome shotgun sequence.
UGCCUUCACUACUGUAAGUCGCUCUGGAUAAGAGCGUCUGCUAAAAUGACUAAAA